UCCUGCUUGUCCUUUUAAACCAUCAGCUACUAAACCGAACAAUUCUGUCACAGGAGAACCAAGUGCUGGCGCCUCCCAUCCUAUACCCAAGGCAGUUGGAGUGGAUGAUUCCAAGCAGGAUUAACUUUUGGAAGAAUUGGGAACUUCCAUUCUAUUCAGAAAAAGCAAAUAUUGGUUAUGCCUUCCUUGAGACUAUGCAGGUUUAUCUAGCUAUUGGCAAAAUGAUAUGUGUGCUACCAAGAUCAUCUUGGUUAAUUUAGUUUGUGGAUUUGGAUAACGUAAACUGAAACCUUUCACAUUUUUCUCGUUAACUUGUAAAUCUAUGUUUAGAAGCACACAUGACAUCUGUUUGCGUCUCCAACUUUAUGAUCUUUCUUCAGCAGUGUUAUGUAUGUGAAAGUGUCACUCUUAUGUUAAUCACAGAAAUCAUGCUUUUGUUGAUGUGUCA